UCGAGGAUCAUUCGCAAUGGGCGAAAGCCUGACGAUGCGACGCCGUGUGAGCGAAGAAGGCCUUCGGGUUGUAAAGCUCUUUCGCUUGGGAACAAGAGAUGUCGAAUAACACUCGGCAAAUUUGAGGGUACCAGGUAAAGAAGCACCGGCUAACUCCGUGCCAGCAGCUGCGGUAAUACGGAGGGUGCAAGCAUUAAUCGGAUUCAUUGGGCGUAUAGGGCGCGUAGGCGGGAAGGAAAGUCAGAUGUGAAAUCCCGGGGCUCAACCCCGGAACAGCAUUUGAAACUCCCUUUCUUGAGGGUAGGCGGAGAAAACGGAAUUCCACAUGUAGCGGUGAAAUGCGUAGAUAUGUGGAGGAACACCGGUGGCGAAAGCGGUUUUCUAGCUUACUCCUGACGCUGAGGCGCGAAAGCAAGGGGAUCAAACAG
rnacentral:rRNA from 1 species